AACGAACGCUGGCGGCAUGCUUAACACAUGCAAGUCGAACGGACUUAUGGAGCUUGCUUUAUAAGUUAGUGGCAGACGGGUGAGAAACGCGUGGGAACGUACCCUAAGGUUCGGAAGAACGGUUGGAAACGAUCGCUAAUACCGGAUGUGUCCGAGAGGAGAAAGGUUUCCCGCAUUGGGAGCGGCCUGGGUUUGAUCAGGUAGUUGGGGGGGUAAAGACCUACCAAGGCGACGAUCCGUAGCGGGUCUGAGAGGACGACCCGCCACACUGGAACUGAGACACGGUCCAGACUCCUACGGGAGGCAGCAGUGGGGAAUUUUGGACAAUGGGGGCAACCCUGAUCCAGCCAUUCCGCGUGAGUGAAGAAGGCCUUCGGGUUGUAAAGCUCUUUCGGCAGGAACGAAACGGUCUGUGCUAAUACCAUGGGCUAAUGACGGUACCUGAAGUAGAAGCACCGGCUAACUACGUGCCAGCCGCCGCCGUAA
rnacentral:rRNA from 1 species